GCCACCCCACACCCGGAGGGGAAAAGGAGGGCGGUGGUUGGGGUACUGGGAGAGUGGCUUUAACCCUUGGCCCAGGGGGCCUCCUCUCCUUAGCUUAUACCAGAAAAGGGAACUGAAACCAUAGAAACUAGCCCUGUGGGAGGUACAGAGAGAGCCAUGCUCAGUGGGAGCUAUGAGGGGCCCUCAGGCUAGCCAGGUGGAGCCCAGGGCCUGGCAUGGAAAGCAGACACUGCCCAGCCCUCCACUGCCACAGCACCAAGAGCUGGUUGCUCUGGGGGCCCUCCUUGAAGACCAGACUUCUUACUGCUUCCCUCCGGAUACCCACUCCCAUCUAGCCAGCAGGUGCUCCUUGAGACCCCUCUGCAAGCACUCUGGGUGAUGAAGAAGAGGGAGAAAUCCCUACCCCUCGUCCUCAGGGAGCUUACAAUCCAGGCUAAAUGUUCCUCUUCCUCUCCAUCUGAACCACCUGGGACGUGGAUUCAAGGCCUUUCCACAUUCUGGUCACCUUCCCCCAGACACUCUCCAGUUUAUCAAAGUUCUUUUUAAAAUGUGGCUCCCAUCACUGAACUCAGAUAUCCAGAAAGGUUCUGGCCAAGGCAGAAGAUACUUUCAGUGGGCCUCUCAGUGCAGCCCCGAAGUUGAAUUUGCUCUUUUGGCUGCCAAAUCGUGUCUUGAUUUUCACGGAAUUGGUGGGUAGCUAAAAACACCUAGUCAUGCUUCUACAAUUCGUUUCAGUGUGACCUUGGGCAAGUCACUUAGGAGGUAGCAUGGGAUAGGGGAAAUGGCAUAAAGCAGCCAGCUUUAGUGCACCUCACCUCUCUACCUCCCUUCCCCUCAACCCCCCCCCCAAAACAUGCAAGCAUGCAUGAAUACCCACAGACCACAGCUACAUCUAAUGACAAUUAUCAAUGUAUCUGUGAUGCUUUACAGUUUUGACAUUCUUAAUUUCCCUCCCACCUCUGGUCUAAGGAUUUCUCCGAGCUCUGACAACAAAUGAGAUAAUAUUUGUAAGGCACUUUGCUCUACAGAGUGCAAUGUAAGUGCUACCUGUUAUCAUGAUUCUGCUUUCUAAUGGCCCUCCAAGUUCCUCCUCCUAUCCCCUACCUCUGACAUUCUAUGAUUCUUUGAUCUGGACCUCAGUCUUAUCAUCUGAAAAAUGGUGAUACCAGCUGCUGGACCUCAUUCACCAGGCUCAAAUAAUAGGAAAGAUAGAAAACUGUCUUGUAAAUUGUAAAGCAAAAGCGUACAUUUGUUAUUAUCGUGAGAUAUAGCUGUGAUCUGUGUGUGUGUGUGUGUGUGUGUGUGUGUGUGUGUAGCACAAAAGCUUUAUGGCCCCAGCAAAGCUUCAACUUCCUCAGUUUCUGAAAAAGAUCCUUAGAAAUGAGAGCUUGGGAGUGUAGGAAGGUGAAGGAGUGGGGUGGGGUCAGAAUCAGACUUAUUUGUGAUGGACUGGAUCUUUUCUUUUUUUUGGGACUUAAUCUUUUAACAGGGAAGGACAAUACAUGGGGAGGGAAACAGCUUAGUCCUUAGAGAUACUGCCUCCCCAGGCAGGGGUCUGGCCAGUCCUUGGACAGGGGCUUGCUGGGAGGCUUGCUUCCCCAAGGCCCUUCUCCUUCCUACCCCAACAUCUGCCCAGGCAAAUGAUCCUGAAGCCUACAUGUAGGAGGAUUUAAGAGGAGAGUCCACAGAGCACCCUAAGUUAUGGGAGAGAGGAGGUCCAGCUGCUCUGAGGUCCCACCUCCCGUUCUCUCUUCUGCUUACUAUCUUCCCUUUUCUUUCUCUUUCACACCUCC